UGGGGAAUAUUGGGGCAAUGGGGGAAACCCUGACCCAGCAACGCCGCGUGAAGGAAGAAGGUUUUCGGAUUGUAAACUUCUGUCCUAAGGGAAGAAAGAAAUGACGGUACCUUAGGAGGAAGCCCCGGCUAACUACGUGCCAGCAGCCGCGGUAAUACGUAGGGGGCAAGCGUUGUCCGGAAUUAUUGGGCGUAAAGGGUGCGUAGGCGGCCGAUCAAGUCAGGUGUGAAAGACCCGUGCUUAACAUGGGGGUUGCACUUGAAACUGGUUGGCUUGAGUAUGGGAGAGGCAAGCGGAAUUCCCGGUGUAGCGGUGAAAUGCGUAGAGAUCGGGAGGAACACCAGUGGCGAAGGCGGCUUGCUGGACCAAAACUGACGCUGAGGCACGAAAGCGUGGGUAGCAAACAGGAUUAGAUACC
rnacentral:rRNA from 1 species